rnacentral:rRNA from 1 species
UGGAGCGUGUGGUUUAAUUCGAUGCAACACGAAGAACCUUACCAAGGCUUGACAUGCUAGUAGUAGGAACCCGAAAGGGGGACGACCGGCCUUCGGGCUGGAGCUAGCACAGGUGCUACGUGGCUGUCGUCAGCUCGUGCCGUGAGGUGUUGGGUUAAGUCCCAUAACGAGCGCAACCCCUGUUCUGUGUUGAUCUCUCACAGGAGACUGCCCAGGAAUUCUGGGAGGAAGGUGGGGAUGACGUCAAGUCAGCAUGGCCUUUAUAUCUUGGGCA